rnacentral:rRNA from 1 species
GAUGAACGCUGGCGGCGUGCCUAAUACAUGCAAGUCGAGCGAACGGACGAGAAGCUUGCUUCUCUGAUGUUAGCGGCGGACGGGUGAGUAACACGUGUAUAACCUCCCUGUAAGACUGGUAUAACUUCGGGAAACCGGAUCUAAUACCGUAUGAUAUCUUGAACCGCAUGGUUCAAAAGUGAAAGACGGUCUUGCUGUCACUUAUAGAUGGUUUCCCGCUGCAUUAGCUAGUUGGUAAGGUAACGGCUUACCAAGGCAACGAUGCAUAGCCGACCGGAGAGGGGGAUAGGCCGCCCUGGAAGUGAGACAGGGACCAGAGGACUACGGGAGGGAGCAGUAGGGAAUGGUAGGCAAUGGGCGAGAGCAUGACGGAACAGGGGGGAGUGAGUGAUGGAGACGUUGGGAGCGUAAAGCUGUGUUAUGAGGGAAGAACAUAUGUGGAAGGAAAUGUGCACAGAGUGACGGUAACUGAUCAGAAAGCAACGGCUAACUACGUG